AAGGGAGACCUAAUUCAGGUAGGAGACGAAAAAAAAGUAGUCCCAACCAAGAAUCAAUCCCAAAAGGUCGGAGCGAGGCGAAAUUGGCUUUCAAACUAGGUUCUGGGUUCACACAAGACCUGAAUCAGGAACAAGGGCUAUUAGCUCAGGUGGUUAGAGCGCACCCCUGAUAAGGGUGAGGUCCCUGGUUCGAGUCCAGGAUGGCCCACCUGCACUGGUGGCAAAAACAAGAGAAGCGAGGAAUCAGCACCUUAUCUUAUCUAUAUAUAUAUAGGAGAGAAUGCUGGCUCUGAGUAAAGAGUCCAGAGGAACCUUGAAAACUGCAUAGAGCUAGGUGAAAAAGCCAAAAAAGAAGACCGCAA
rnacentral:tRNA from 1 species